AUCUAUGCCCAUACUAUCUUGAACUUGCCAGAUCUAAUGUGAUCUUGGAAGCUAAGCAGGCCUGGACCAAGUCAGUACUUGGGUGGUAGAAAUC
ensembl:rRNA predicted gene, 23381